rnacentral:lncRNA from 1 species
UGAAUGAUGGAAUGGAGAAGUCAGGUACAGAGCUGUGGGGAUAGCAUCACAGUAUACUCAAGGGGAGUUAUUGACCAGUUUGAAUGACAAUGAAGCCUUUACAAAGAAAAGAUUUAGCUAGUGGACUGAACAGAAGUAGCUGUGCAACCACCACUAGAAGCCUUCUGAGCGUGUUACUGAAGAGGAUGAGGCAGGAGGCUUCCAGAGACAGGAGGCUUCCAGAGGCAACAGCCAAGACUAAGCCACCAACCACAGGGCAAAACCCAGUAAAAAAAAUAAAUAAAUAAGAACACUUCCA